rnacentral:lncRNA from 1 species
GGAAAGAAACCUGGAAAGGUAGGGAGGUAUGGAUAUGGACAAGCUAUGCCAAGGAGCAGGGCUUUGUCAUGGAGAGUGACUAGGUGCUUUUACAUAGGAAAGUCACCUGAUAAUAUUAAAACCUGUGAAAUAUCACUCUGGUGGAAGUGUGAAUGAAUUUGAAAGGGGUGUAACACUGUUCUACUUUGUUUACUCCUCAGUACCCUUGGCUGUGUACAUUUGAGUAAAGAGAGCACUAUAAAAUCAAAAACCAAUGAAAUGGUUUCCAGAACACAGAACUAUUAAGCUUAAGAAAAGGACAGAAGGAACUGAAGAGAGAGGAACUGUUUUGGAGCAUCACACUUCCACCUCAGAAGAAAUAAGGAAGGAAGGAGGAGGGUGUUCCCACGGCUCUUCAACCAGGCCGGCUCUUCAGCCUACAUCCCCAUCUCAUCAAGUAAAAGGGAUUUUUCAACUGGACCAACCAGAUGGUUUAACAGUGCACUCCCACACCAUUCAACUACGCAAGGGAGAUACACUUAACAUAUGCAGUCGUAUAACACCUACUAACAUUUUCAAACAUUAAACCUUUAAAAAAGAGUUCUAAAGAAAUAGAAGCUUGAAGUAUCAUCUCUCAAGUAUAUAGACACUACUUCAUGGUGUGGUAAUAUAUGCAUAUAGAAGCUAGUAAACACCUCCAGGAGAUGCAAAAGGAAUUAGAACUGCCACAAGGUGCAAGCAAAACCUUGAGUCUCCAUUGAUGGUGAAGUAUUUUCACUAUUUGGCAUGUCUUCUCUAGUACCUAGAGCAGUGCGUUGCAUGCAGUAGCAGGUUUAUAAACAUUUGCGAGUAAAACAUCCAACCUGAUACUCAAGGUGAGAAAAUCGAAUUUGGACACCGUUGAGGAGACUAUUGCAGUCAUCCAAGCUCAAGAUGGUGGAGCUUCAUCCUUGAGAAUAACCAAUGGGGAUAGAUUUAAGAGACACUUAGAGUCUGCAGCCAACAGGGCUGAAUGAGCAGAGAGUUAUGAUUCAGAAGAUCAUCUAAAAUUGAACAGCUGCCACUACUGGCAAUAAGUCUACUGCCAUUUGGUAGAUAACCUUCUUAUCACACAGAAAAAUAUCAGUACAGACAAAUAGACCGCAAAGAAAAUGAGACCAUCAGCAAAGAAGAUAAAGAAGUUUGUACAAAGCAACUUUUUAUAAAUGGAUGGCUGUCAGGCAAAAAUAAAUUUCCUGUGGACAAGACCAAGAGCAAGGCAAGAGGAAAAUAAACAUGUUUAAACUA